rnacentral:rRNA from 1 species
UGGGGAAUCUUGCGCAAUGGACGAAAGUCUGACGCAGCGACGCCGCGUGGGUGAUGAAGGCCUUCGGGUUGUAAAGCCCUGUGGGGCGGGACGAAUUAGUGGAAGCUAAUACCUUCCAUGAUGACGGUACCGCCUUAGCAAGCACCGGCUAACUCUGUGCCAGCAGCCGCGGUAAGACAGAGGGUGCAAACGUUGUUCGGAAUUACUGGGCGUAAAGCGUGUGUAGGCGGCCAUGAAAGUCGGAUGUGAAAGCCCCAGGCUUAACCUGGGAAGUGCACCCGAUACUACAUGGCUUGAGUAUCGGAGAGGUUGGUGGAAUUCUCGGUGUAGAGGUGAAAUUCGUAGAUAUCGAGAGGAACACCGGUGGCGAAGGCGGCCAACUGGACGAAUACUGACGCUGAGACACGAAAGCGUGGGGAGCAAACAGGAUUAGAUACCCCCGUAGUCC